rnacentral:lncRNA from 1 species
AAAAACAAUUUAAAAAAAAAAUUCAAAAAAAAAAAUUUAUAAAAAUUUUGAAUUUGAAAACAUAUAAUCUAAAACUAUAAAAUAUUUUUUAAAAUUUUUUAAUUUUUUUUUAAUUUUUUAUAUCUAGGGUAUUAGUGUAAUUUUACCUAUUAAAUGUAACAUUUUGGUAAUUUUCCUCUUUGUGGUAUAUUUUUGUGAUCAAAACUUGAAAAUGAUUUUUUUUUUUUUUGAACACAUAGUAAUUUCAUUGAUUAGGAGAUAAAGGUUUUAUGGCCUUGGGCCUAAAUUGGAAGAUAGGCAGCUCUUUGCCAAAGAGUCUGCUGGCCCAUUAGAGGCUAUAGAGACAAAAACAACAGAAGCAAAAAUAAACGGAGAGGUCGGUGUAGAUAUCAAAGAGAUGAUGUCCGAUAGGAUUCCAUGGAGAUCCGUCGGUCUUCUUCUCGAUGCAAUUGCUCGUGUGAGCACUUGGGAGUCUGUUCUAAGACAGAUGUGUGUGAGGUUGAUUGACGCGGCGUGUAGAAGCGCUGAUCUGAUUGCCAAAGCUUCUGUCAUUAGGGGAGAUGAGACAUGGUCCUGGAAACUGGAGCCUCUGGUCAAUUCUGAGGCGUUUCUGGUGGUGAAGAUCCAUCCUAGACCCGCUGCCUCUCGAUCUGCUCUCCACGAAGCGUCGCUGUUACAGAAGAUUAAGAGCUCAGAGUUGCAAGCGGAAGCAUCAGGGGGAGGAUGUGUGAUCGUGUUAGGGGUUUUGUGAGCAGGUGUUCCCA